rnacentral:rRNA from 1 species
AUUGAACGCUGGCGGCAGGCCUAACACAUGCAAGUCGAACGAGUGGCGGACGGGUGAGUAAUGUCUGGGAAACUGCCUGAUGGAGGGGGAUAACUACUGGAAACGGUAGCUAAUACCGCAUACCAUCGGAUGUGCCCAGAUGGGUUUAGCUAGUAGGUGGGGUAACGGGUCACCUAGGCGACGAGCCCUAGCUGGUCUGAGAGGAUGACCAGCCAAACUGGAACUUGGAGACGGUCCAGAAUCCUACGGGCGGCAGAAGUGGGGAAUAUUGCACGAUGGGCGCAAGCCUGAUGCAGCCAUGCCGCGUGUAUGAAGAAGGCCUUCGGGUUGUAAAGUACUUUCAGCGGGGAGGCGUUACCCGCAGAAGAAGCACCGGCUAACUCCGUGCCAGCCGCCGCGGUAAUAC